UCCCUGGUGGUCUAGUGGUUAGGAUUCAGUGCUCUCACCACUGAGGCUCGGGUUUGAUUCCCGGUCAGGGAA